rnacentral:rRNA from 1 species
UGGGGAAUAUUGNGCNANAGGGGGGAACCCUGACGCAGCCAUGCCGCGUGAAUGAAGAAGGCCUUAGGGUUGUAAAGUUCUUUCGGUAUUGAGGAAGGUUGAUGUGUUAAUAGCACAUCAAAUUGACGUUAAAUACAGAAGAAGCACCGGCUAACUCCGUGCCAGCAGCCGCGGUAAUACGGAGGGUGCGAGCGUUAAUCGGAAUAACUGGGCGUAAAGGGCACGCAGGCGGUUAUUUAAGUGAGGUGUGAAAGCCCCGGGCUUAACCUGGGAAUUGCAUUUCAGACUGGGUAACUAGAGUACUUUAGGGAGGGGUAGAAUUCCACGUGUAGCGGUGAAAUGCGUAGAGAUGUGGAGGAAUACCGAAGGCGAAGGCAGCCCCUUGGGAAUGUACUGACGCUCAUGUGCGAAAGCGUGGGGAGCAAACAGGAUUAGAUACCCUGGUAGUCCACGCUGUAAACGCUGUCGAUUUGGGGGUUGGGGUUUAACUCUGGCGCCCGUAGCUAACGUGAUAAAUCGACCGCCUGGGGGAGUACGGCCGCAAGGUUA